CCCGAUUCCGGUGGCAAUGUGAAGACAAAUGUUAUCAAAACAGAGAUGACAACCAACGGAACUGAAGAUAAAUGCCAUUCAGCGGAAGGACUGUACAUUCCUGUGUCGAUGGAAGUGCUUUCAUUUUGCACAUCCAGUCGAAAGCCAUCGUAUGUCCAUGAUCCAAACUUGAGAAUACACCUCUGAGAGUCGAAUGGAAAGUAUUCAACAUUAAUUUUACACUUGGUUUUCAACAUUACUGGCGAGAGCCACGUGUUCAAUCCAUCGUGAUUGAUCUGAACUCUUGUCGACAGGCGAUCAAGAUAGCCGCGAAAAUCUACAUUUUCAUCAGCACUAUAAUAAUAAGUGAGAAAUAGAAUACAUUUCUGUCGAUUAAUACCGAUUUUUGUGUUAAAACUAUUUUAUUUGCUGCUAUAUUUUACGUUAAGAAAAGCUCAACGCGAGUGUUAAUACGAUGAAAAAGAAAAUUAAUUUCAUUUUUCUUGCGUGACGCACUUGUUGUAAAGAACGAUAUCUGGGAUCCAGAUGCGUUUGCUGGGUACGUUAAUGGUUGCUAUGUUGCCAUAAGCAGAUCUAUUCCAUUUCAUAUAUGGAUUGUACCAUUUCUAUUUAGAGAUAAAAGAGAAUCACACA